AUGGCGACGAGAGCAGAACCGAAGGUCGAGGUGAAGGUUUUCGUGGACGAGGAGAAUAGCAGGGUGGUCUUCGCGGAGUCCGGCAGGGAGUUCGUCGACGUGCUCUUGGGCUUCCUCACGCUGCCUCUCGGCACCGUCGUUCGCCUCCUCGGCAAGCAGUCUCAGGCCGGAUGCCUGGACGAGAUCUACAAGAGCGUGGACGGGCUCCCCACUCGCCUCUUCAAAACCGAGGCCUGCAAGACGAUGCUUCUCAGUCCCAUCAACGCUGCGGCGAAGCGGUGCUGUCAACUCAAGGUCAGAGUUGACGACACCAAGCACGGGGAGGUCUAUGUUUGCGCUGACACGAGCUGCUGCGCGCAUGUUGAAGGCGCCUUCAGCUCCGUCCGCGGCGCUGUCUGCAAAUGCGGCAAGGCCAUGUUCCAGCUCGCCGGGGAGAGGCCGGAGAAUGAUUGUAGCACUAGCGCUGCUCGUGGUGGUGAUUUUGACGUCGCUGUUUUUGUCAAAGAGGACGUGAAGUUCAUCGUCACCGAUGAUUUUCAUGUGGCACCGGCCUCAACGUCUCUCAUGUUAUCCAUUUUGGAAAAGUUUGAAGUUCAGGAUCUCUCCUGUCUUGAGCAGAGGACUCUGCAACUUAGUUCAGACAAGAUGAUUAGCCUGCUCAAGAGAUCAUUAACGUCGAAGAACCCUUUAACUGGUCACUAUUUUGAUCUUGCCAUCGCCUCUGACGAUUCAGUCACAGAUAUUCUCCCCGGUAAUUUGCAUCCUCAACAAGAAAACGAUGCUGAGUACACGCUAAACAAUGUUAAGAUUAAGGUUCUUCAGACUAAGGACAAUUCAUCGGUGUUGUAUGCUGAAGCUGGUGCCGAUUUUGCGGAUCUUCUCUUGGGAUUGCUAAGCAUACCACUGGGAUCCAUAGUGAAAAUGUAUGGGAAGUGCACAUCAAACGGGUGUGUUCACAAUCUUUACAGUAGCAUCAAUGGAUGUGCUGAUGGAUUCUUGAGGCCAGGAUGCCAGAUCUCACUACUGUCCCCGAACUUGCCACCCUUCUUUGGUUGUGGAACUGCUAAGAUGCUACAAGUUGAAGAACUAUCUCCAUAUAAGCAAGAGAUCGAUGGCUGCAUCAAGUGCUUCAAGAUCGGCGGUUUCAGGGAUCUUGCACGUUGCUGGGAGCAGCAUUAUGUUUACAACGGUUUAGAAAAUGUAUAUACAUAUAAGAAUUGCCGUGCUGAUGUAAAGAAAUCAAGCCUUUUUGAGUGGGACCCAAAACUACCAAAGGGAGAAGAAAGUGGCACUGGAGAAGCAUAUGUCAAGCAGGGGCCUCAGAGUUUCAUGGUUACUGACAAUCUACAUGUUCUUCCUCUGUCCUUAGCAAGCAGUCUACGGGUUAUUAGUGAAGCCAAGGUUCAGAGAAAGGACCUUGUGGAGAAAGAGCUCGCUCUCACAAAACCCCAGAUACUGAAAGCUGCCUUGGUGACUCGCAAAGCUCUCAGCACUGCGCUUCUGCCUCCCAAGGAGCCUGCUCCCAAGAAUAUGAAGAAGCUGCAUCACCAGAGCUUCGGUCUAUAUUAG
rnacentral:rRNA from 1 species